rnacentral:rRNA from 1 species
CGGGGGGAGCAAGCGUUGUUCGGAUUUACUGGGCGUAAAGGGCGCGUAGGCGGCCAGCGCAAGUCAGCUGUGAAAUCUCCGGGCUUAACUCGGAAAGGUCAACUGAUACUGCGCGGCUAGAGUGCAGAAGGGGCAACUGGAAUUCUCGGUGUAGCGGUGAAAUGCGUAGAUAUCGAGAGGAACACCUGCGGCGAAGGCGGGUUGCUGGGCUGACACUGACGCUGAUGCGCGAAAGCCAGGGGAGCGAACGGGAUUAGAUACCCCGGUAGUCCUGGCCUUAAACGAUGGAUGCUUGGUGUCUGGAGUUUUAUAGUCUCCGGGUGCCGUAGCUAACGCGUUAAGCAUCCCGCCUGGGGAGUACGGUCGCAAGACUG